GUGUCAGCCGCCGCGGUAAUACCCGCGCCACAAGUGGUCAUCGCGAUUAUUGGGCCUAAAGCGUCCGUAGCCGGUUUAGCAAAUUCUUUGUGAAAUCGUCUCGCCUAACGGGACGACGUGCAGAGAACACUACUAAACUCGAGACCGGGAGGGGUUAGCAGUAUUCCUAGGGGACCGGUAAAAUGGUAUAAUCCUAGGAAGACUACCGAUAGCGAAGGCAGCUAACCAGAACGGAUCUGACGGUGAGGGACGAAAGCUAGGGGAGCGAACCGGAUUAGAAACCCCAGUAGUCC
rnacentral:rRNA from 1 species